rnacentral:tRNA from 1 species
GGAGAAUUGGCCGAGUGGUCGAAGGCGCACGCUUGGAAAGCGUGUAAAUGGCAACAUUUCGAGGGUUCGAAUCCCUUGUUCUCCGCCA